UGGAUGUAUGUAUCGUGAUCCAUGCUGCACCCAGUGUUUUCACUUUUAAAAUUAGAUCUAAUGCAUGUUAGGCUGUAACCCGUAUUGUUUCAUAAGCAUUAUCGAUGUUGACACGUUAUAGUGUGAUAGUGUUACAGAGUUGUGUCUUGUAUUUAUCAUUUUAUGGACAUUUUAUGGACAUUUACAAAAAUGUCACGUUGCGUUAUGCUGAAGGGUAGCUAACGUUCGCCUUGUACUUUGCUAAUGAGGCUAGUCUCCUCGUGAAGUGUAAGUGUAUUUUUAUUUUAUGUUUCACGGCACUUUUAUGUUUCACGGCACGGCACUUGUUUCACGGCAUGGUGGGUUUACAGUUGUGCUGAAGUUCACACAGUGUUGUGUAUGUAUUCGCAGGUUGUGUGAGCUAACUUAGCUGGCAAGGGGCCACUACUGAGGACGCUAGCUAUUAAAAGAUGGCCUAUUUGGGAUUGAAAGGUGGCUGUGAUGUGAAAGAGUGUGUGGAGGAUCAUGGCACACAUGACCUUUCAAAGACCAUGAACUGGAGGGGAAUGCCAACUGCAGCUGCCAACUGCAGCUCAAAGGGAUAGUUAAUUCUGCAGUGUGGAGAAACCGACUCACGUUCAGUGCAACUAACAAAGAAGUGGGGGAAAAAGCUGUGUUUUUUUGUUUUUCCUUGGUUUGUGUGACCAACUUGCACCAAAUUUCCUGAAGAUGUUCAGGAAGAUGAUCAUCUUCAGGAAGAUGAACGCUGCUUCAGCAACACUACCUGAGGGGGCUGAUUUCCCAAUGAAUACUGUCCAGGAUGUGGAGGCAGGCAAUAGAGCAAAAGUUACUCAAAACAGCGGUUGUCUGUACCUGCGGCCAGAGGGAAGGAUCUGGAUUUCGGAUUGGAGUGGAUGGGAAGAGUCAACCAAUACCAAUAUAAUACCAAAAAGUGUGCAUGCUAGCAACCAAGUUUUCAAGAUGGAGCACUUUCAGUCCAGAGCCAAAGGUAUGAUGAUGCAAAAUGAUCAUUGCGUAUAAUUAGCAUCAUUAUGCUUUUUGCUCUGUAAUGCAAUCAUUGUCCUGGGGACCCAAAGAAGUGUACUUUUUUGUUUCUGCCCUAACACCCCCACAUAUUAUUUAAAUUAAGAAACUCAUCAAACCUUGAAUUGAAUAAGGUAUGUGAGUACUGCUGUACUGAAAGUUCUCUAUCUUUGGUCCCAGGAUGACAGCCCAAUUGAAAACCACAUUUUACAGCCUACUUACUGUAGGUCACACUUCACACCCAUUUGGGAAAACACCUGGGUCCCAUGCGGGUACUAAAAGUGUGGUAACCCACAUGGCCCCCUGGUUUUAGCCCAGGUGGGUUAAAGAAGGCUUAACACUUGGGGCCAAUGUCAGAUAACCACAAGGAGCCCACACAGUUUUGUCCUUAGUGUCCACACUGGCCCCACAUAUGGUUGCCAUGUUGCGAUUUAUCUGGGUUCAUGUUGGGCUUCACAAUUUAUAAAGUCCAACAUGGCAACCACGUGUGGGGACAACAUGUAUAAUGAGGAUUCAACUUUUUGGGGCCCUUGUGGUUUUCCUACAUGGGGGCCCAAAAUGUUUAUAAAAAUUACAAUCCCCCCUCACAUGUUACUGUCAAGUUCAACACAGCAAAAACAAUAUAUUUGGGCUACACUGCACAUUAUACACUUUCUGCCUGUGGACAUCUGUUCUACAAUGUGCCAGCAAAAGUGAGAGAGGGAAAGUGUGUGGUGUUCCUUUCCCCUUUACAGUGGCAUCCAGUUUAAGCCAGGCCCAGCUCCAGCUACACUUUUUCCCUGAAUCCACUUGUUUAAAAGUGCAACGCCUCAUUUUCACCUAAUUCUCUCAUUCUGAAAAUUAACCACAUACUGUCGAGGGAAAACAUUAGUUUACAGAUAAUGGUUAGCUAGUUAACAUUUCACACAGAUUGCCAGGGUCCAGUAAGUAACUGAGUUAUAACUUGAACCAGCAAGGAGUUGUAUACCAGCUAAUACUAUAGCCAAUUGGUUAGGUUACUAAUGUUAGCUCAUCUGAUGUUGUAACAUUAGCUAGCUAACGUUAGCUGUCUGACUUUAUUAGCAAGCAAAUUUUCACACCAUAAACUCAAUUAUUUGAUCAGAUGAGUUGACUAUUGUUGCUCAAAAUUUCUCUGACUAGCUAAUAGAGAAUUCGAUCCAGCUAGCAAGAUACUUAACAAUGCUAAUACUUGUUCCUCCACACAUUUUCCCUCACAUCAAAUUUUCCAAAUGCCAGUUGUUUUUCAAUUACAGCUCAUGAAGUACUCUUCAUCACCUUCUCACCUAACGUUACCUCUUCAUUAUCGUUCAGCGGACGCGCUGCUGUAACUGCCUUUCUACUCUAUGCAGGUCUUUCCAUGGUGCGCGCUGAUGCUGUAAACGAAUCACGUAGGCCACCUAUUUUGGACUCAAGACGGGAAAUUUCUAGACUAGUUUGCAGCCCUGGUGUCUGGGUGUCCUCAAUUUGCAGGGGGCAGACAAGUUUUCUGUCACUCAGUCAGCGGCAGGGUAGCGGUUAGAGCGUUGGACUAGUAACCGGAAGGUUGCAAGUUCAAAUCCCCGAGCUGACAAGGUACAAAUCUGUCGUUCUACCCCUGAACAGGCAGUUAACCCACUGUUCCUAGGCCGUCAUUGAAAAUAAGAAUUUGUUCUUAACUGACUUGCAUAGAUAAAUAAAGGUAAAAUUGCAAAGUUCAUACUUUUUUCCCAUACCCUCACCCACUUGUUAGAUAUUAUGCACAUUGAUAGCUUGCUAGUCUAGCAAAAUGUCAUUUGAUUUAUAAUAGUAACAGGCUAACCAGUCUGGUUCCAGAGCAUUUCAUAUUAUUCAGAAAGUAAAUCAAAGAUUAUUCUGAAAUCCAAAUCCAAGAGGUUAAAGUUAUGGGGAAGGGUUAGCUAAAAUAGUUAGGGUUAGCUAAAAUUGUUUAGGAUUAGCAAAGAUGCUAAGUAGUUGCAAAGUAACUAAAAAGUAGUAAGUAGUUGAAAAGGUGUAAAAGUGAUGAUAAGGUUAUAUGGAUUUAUGUUAGGCUUUUUGGUGGACCCCUGUGGGCAAAUGUGUGAUAACCCAUGUCAACCCCAGGUUUUAGCCCAUGUUGUUUAAAGGGUUCGUUGUCUCUUCCACGGGACAGUUGAGCUAACGUAGGCUAAUGCGAUUUAGCAUGAGGUUGUAAGUAUCAAGAACAUUUCCCAGGACACAGACAUA